UGGCGGCAGGCCUAACACAUGCAAGUCGAGCGGUAGAGAGAAGCUUGCUUCUCUUGGGAGCGGCGGACGGGUGAGUAAUACCUAGGAAUCUGCCUGAUAGUGGGGGAUAACGUUCGGAAACGGACGCUAAUACCGCAUACGUCCUACGGGAGAAAGCAGGGGACCUUCGGGCCUUGCGCUAUCAGAUGAGCCUAGGUCGGAUUAGCUAGUUGGUGAGGUAAUGGCUCACCAAGGCUACGAUCCGUAACUGGUCUGAGAGGAUGAUCAGUCACACUGGAACUGAGACACGGUCCAGACUCCUACGGGAGGCAGCAGUGGGGAAUAUUGGACAAUGGGCGAAAGCCUGAUCCAGCCAUGCCGCGUGUGUGAAGAAGGUCUUCGGAUUGUAAAGCACUUUAAGUUGGGAGGAAGGGCAGUUACCUAAUACGUGAUUGUCUUGACGUUACCGACAGAAUAAGCACCGGCUAACUCUGUGCCAGCAGCCGCGGUAAUACAGAGGGUGCAAGCGUUAAUCGGAAUUACUGGGCGUAAAGCGCGCGUAGGUGGUUUGUUAAGUUGAAUGUGAAAUCCCCGGGCUCAACCUGGGAACUGCAUCCAAAACUGGCAAGCUAGAGUAUGGUAGAGGGUAGUGGAAUUUCCUGUGUAGCGGUGAAAUGCGUAGAUAUAGGAAGGAACACCAGUGGCGAAGGCGACUACCUGGACUGAUACUGACACUGAGGUGCGAAAGC
rnacentral:rRNA from 1 species